AUACGGGGGGUGCAAGCGUUAAUCGGAAUUACUGGGCGUAAAGAGCGCGUAGGCGGUUUGCUCAGUCGGAUGUGAAAGCCCAGGGCUCAACCUUGGAACUGCAUACGAUACUGGCAAACUAGAGUGUGAGAAAGGAUAGUGGAAUUUCCGGUGUAGCGGUGAAAUGCGUAGAUAUCGGAAGGAACAUCAGUGGCGAAGGCGACUGUCUGGCUCAACACUGACGCUGAGGUGCGAAAGCGUGGGUAGCAAACAGGAUUAGAAACCCCAGUAGUCC
rnacentral:rRNA from 1 species